rnacentral:ribozyme from 1 species
AGUAAUACUCCAUCGAUAAGAUAAGGAUACGAAGCCUCUCGAAGGACAUGGCUCUCGAUACUCUACACCUUCUCAAUGCGUCCACGACGUACAGAGCGGAUAAAUGUAUUUCUAAAUAACUGGGCUUGUUUAGACGGAGUUGGAGUUUUCAUGGUAUUCUGAUAUGG